UCGAGAAUUUUUCACAAUGGGCGCAAGCCUGAUGGAGCGACGCCGCGUGGGGGAUGAAUGGCUUCGGCCCGUAAACCCCUGUCAUUUGCGAUCAACCGUUGUUGUUUAAGAGAUGACAACCUGAUAGUAGCGAAAGAGGAAGGGACGGCUAACUCUGUGCCAGCAGCCGCGGUAAUACAGAGGUCCCAAGCGUUGUUCGGAUUCACUGGGCGUAAAGGGUGCGUAGGUGGCGGGGUAAGUCGGAUGUGAAAUCUCCGAGCUCAACUCGGAAAUGGCAUUGGAAACUACUCUGCUCGAGGGUUGGAGGGGGGACUGGAAUACUUGGUGUAGCAGUGAAAUGCGUAGAUAUCAAGUGGAACACCAGUGGCGAAGGCGAGUCCCUGGACAACUCCUGACACUGAGGCACGAAAGCUAGGGGAGCAAACAGGAUUAGAUACCCUGGUAGUCCUAGCCGUAAACGGUGCAUGUUUGCUGUAAAAGGAAUCGACCCCUUUUGUGGCGUAGCAAACGCGUUAAACAUGCCGCCUGGGAAGUACGGUCGCAAGAUUA
rnacentral:rRNA from 1 species